AGGGUUUGAUUCUGGCUCAGGAUGAACGCUAGCUACAGGCUUAACACAUGCAAGUCGAGGGGCAGCAUGGACCCAGUUUUGCUGGGUUUGAUGGCGACCGGCGCACGGGUGAGUAACGCGUAUCCAACCUGCCCUUUACUCCGGGAUAGUCUCCUGAAAGGGAGUUUAAUACCGGAUGUGUUUGUCUUUCCGCAUGGGAGCGACAAAUAAAGAUUGAUUGGUAAAGGAUGGGGAUGCGUCCCAUUAGCUUGUUGGCGGGGUAACGGCCCACCAAGGCGACGAUGGGUAGGGGUUCUGAGAGGAAGGUCCCCCACAUUGGAACUGAGACACGGUCCAA
rnacentral:rRNA from 1 species